AUAUGAUACUGUAUGUCUUCACCCUUCUGGAUCAGUGAUGUAUUUGCACAGUUGGGGAAAAGCAGACGAAGAAGAGCUAGCUUUGGGGCUCUUAAACCGCAACGUACAUGUACAAUGUAGGCAAUCUCAGCUUGUCUGGGACACUGCUUGUCCUAGUGGAGUACUGCUAUUUAUGCAACAUAAAGUAUCUUACCAAAACUGAGGGACCAGGUGUGCCUUAAUGACAGCAGAUUGAUAGCAGGUGCUGCCCCACACACCUUAAAUAGUAAAAAGGCUCACUGGAGUUGUGACUGGGAAGAGAGCUAUGAGUCCACCUCAGAAGCAGAGAGGUGCAGAUAAUGACUCACCUUCCAGAACUGGAGAGAGACAGAACAUUGUGGGAUCUAAGAUAACCUGUGCCGCUGUGGCUACUUCCCUAUCCCGUGAUGAACUGCAGUCCUCAGUAAAGGAAAACAUCCCGACAGUUUGUAUUCUGGGCCACUGGCUUUAUAUUACUAUUCAUGUCCUAGAACAGUUUUUUGUGAGAAUUGUGAAAGAAAUGUGAUGAAAACGUGUUCUAGUGACUGUCUGUGGUGGUAAACCAGGGCUGAAGUCUGGGCUCAUUCAGCACGGAAAAAGGAUGGCCUUGUGAGGACCUAACAGCAGCCUGUCCACAUAUAUCAAGCAGAUGGGUCCCAGCUGUUCAUAGCAGGAGGAUGAGAGAUGGGCAGAAUCUGAAACGAGAGGUUCAGAUGGGAUAUAAGGAAAAAUUACCCUCUGCCGUGAGGACCAUCGGGCAGCUAUGCAAGCUUCAGCCUUGGAGGACUUCAAGACCGGACUGGAUCAAGCCCUGAGCAACCUAGUUGGAUACUGUGACUGACCCUGCACUGAGCUGGAUUUAUGCUAGAGGCCUCCUGAGGUCCCUUACAAGCUGAAUUCCCUUGUCAUCUUAUUAGUCACAGGCCUUCCUCUGAGGACAACAUGAGGCACCUAGCUUGCUAGCCUGUGGGGUUUGGUUUCCAUGGUUUGUGAGGGGGAGUCCAUGUGGCUCCCUUUGGGAAAUCAGACUGCCUAGACCAUGUAGUGCGGCCUCCCAGUGGGAUGCAGCCCAUCGUGCCACCAGUGUGGGGUUGGGCAGCAGCAGGGCGGCCAUGUUGCUGCGCUGCCACCUGAGGAGGCCUGACGUGGCCUGGGGAGGUGAGCCCCUGGAAGGCAGCUGGGGGCAGCUGGUUACAGGAGGGUGCUUAGAAAUAAAUGUAGAGGUGUGUGGUAACA
rnacentral:lncRNA from 1 species